rnacentral:misc_RNA from 1 species
GGGCUAUCGAGUUACAUAACUAUUGUACAAGUGUGUACGAGGAGGGAGAUGCACGGUCGGCACUCAUAGCAAUGUUGCAGUCGUUGAACCAUGCUAAGCAUGGUGUCGAUGUGGUGUCGGGGACAAAGGUGAAGUCUCAUUUCGCACGCCCCAAUUGGCGGAAUGUGUACAAGCGGCUUGCCCUCAAUCAUAGGGAUCAACGAAUUGGUGUAUUUUAUUGUGGCGCCCCGGCAUUGACCAAGGAGCUUCGACAACACGCUCUCGAGUUCUCCCGCAAGACGUCCACCAAAUUCGACUUCCACAAAGAGAACUUCUAAAUUUCUUG